AACCUUAUGGACCUGCGGGCGUAUACCUGCGGAAGGAUCAUUACAACAAGGUUCCCUGGCCCUCGAAGCUUCGGCGGAGGGGCGCUACAGCCUGACUUUAUACCCACCCUUUGCCUAUGUGUACCCCUAUUGCUUCCCUCGGCGGGCUCGCCCGCCGACAGGAACCAACUAAACCCUUUGCAUUAUACAUUUAACACUUCCGAUACAAAACUAAAUUAUUACAACUUUUAACAACGGAUC
rnacentral:misc_RNA from 1 species